rnacentral:rRNA from 2 species
GCCUAUACAUGCAAGUCGAACGAGCUUCCGUUGAAUGACGUGCUUGCACUGAUUUCAACAAUGAAGCGAGUGGCGAACUGGUGAGUAACACGUGGGGAAUCUGCCCAGAAGCAGGGGAUAACACUUGGAAACAGGUGCUAAUACCGUAUAACAACAAAAUCCGCAUGGAUUUUGUUUGAAAGGUGGCUUCGGCUAUCACUUCUGGAUGAUCCCGCGGCGUAUUAGUUAGUUGGUGAGGUAAAGGCCCACCAAGACGAUGAUACGUAGCCGACCUGAGAGGGUAAUCGGCCACAUUGGGACUGAGACACGGCCCAAACUCCUACGGGAGGCAGCAGUAGGGAAUCUUCCACAAUGGACGAAAGUCUGAUGGAGCAAUGCCGCGUGAGUGAAGAAGGGUUUCGGCUCGUAAAACUCUGUUGUUAAAGAAGAACACCUUUGAGAGUAACUGUUCAAGGGUUGACGGUAUUUAACCAGAAAGCCACGGCUAACUACGUGCCAGCAGCCGCGGUAAUACGUAGGUGGCAAGCGUUGUCCGGAUUUAUUGGGCGUAAAGCGAGCGCAGGCGGUUUUUUAAGUCUGAUGUGAAAGCCUUCGGCUUAACCGGAGAAGUGCAUCGGAAACUGGGAGACUUGAGUGCAGAAGAGGACAGUGGAACUCCAUGUGUAGCGGUGGAAUGCGUAUAUAUAUGGAAGAACACCACUGGCGAAGGCGGCUGUCUAGUCUGUAACUGACGCUGAGGCUCGAAAGCAUGGGUAGUGAACACGAUUAUAUACCCUGGUAGUCCAUGCCGUAAACGAUGAGUGCUAAGUGUUGGAGGGUUUCCUCCCCUUCAUUGCUGCA